rnacentral:rRNA from 1 species
UACGGAGGGUGCAAGCGUUAUCCGGAUUUACUGGGUUUAAAGGGUGUGUAGGCGGGCUUUUAAGUCAGUGGUGAAAUCUCCGGGCUCAACCCGGAAACUGCCAUUGAUACUAUUAGUCUUGAAUUUUGUUGAGGUAGGCGGAAUAAGUCAUGUAGCGGUGAAAUGCAUAGAUAUGACUUAGAACACCAAUUGCGAAGGCAGCUUGCUAGACAAAUAUUGACGCUGAGGCACGAAAGCGUGGGGAUCAAACAGG